rnacentral:rRNA from 1 species
AACGAACGCUGGCGGCAGGCUUAACACAUGCAAGUCGAACGAACGUAGCAAUACGUUAGUGGCGCACGGGUGAGUAACGCGUGGAUAUCUGCCUUUUGGUUCGGGAUAACCUUGGGAAACUAGGGCUAAUACCGAAUGGUUCCUACGGGAUAAAGAUUUAUCGCCAAAAGAUGAGUCCGCGUCCGAUUAGCUAGUUGGUG